rnacentral:rRNA from 1 species
UAAUGUAUGGGGAUCUGCCCGAUGGAGGGGAAUAACUACUGGAAACGGUGGCUAAUACCGCAUAAUGUCUACGGACCAAAGCAGGGGCUCUUCGGACCUUGCACUAUCGGAUGAACCCAUAUGGGAUUAGCUAGUAGGUGGGGUAAAGGCUCACCUAGGCGACGAUCUCUAGCUGGUCUGAGAGGAUGAUCAGCCACACUGGGACUGAGACACGGCCCAG